CGUGGAUAUUCCUUCUAUGUUUA
rnacentral:miRNA from 1 species